UAGGGAAUCUUCGGCAAUGGGGGGAACCCUGACCGAGCAACGCCGCGUGAGUGAAGAAGGUUUUCGGAUCGUAAAGCUCUGUUGUUAAGGAAGAACGAGUGUGAGAAUGGAAAGUUCAUACUGUGACGGUACUUAACCAGAAAGGGACGGCUAACUACGUGCCAGCAGCCGCGGUAAUACGUAGGUCCCGAGCGUUGUCCGGAUUUAUUGGGCGUAAAGCGAGCGCAGGCGGUCAAUUAAGUCUGAUGUGAAAGCCCCCGGCUCAACCGGGGAGGGUCAUUGGAAACUGGUUGACUUGAGUGCAGAAGAGGAGAGUGGAAUUCCAUGUGUAGCGGUGAAAUGCGUAGAUAUAUGGAGGAACACCGGUGGCGAAAGCGGCUCUCUGGUCUGUAACUGACGCGGAGGCUCGAAAGCGUGGGGAGCGAACAGG
rnacentral:rRNA from 1 species